UACCAGCUCUCCGAGUGGUGUGGAUGUUUAUUGGGCCUAAAGCAUCCGUAGCUGGCUGGACAAGUCCCCUGUUAAAUCCACCGAUUUAAUCGUUGGUGUGCGGGGGAUACUGUUCGGCUAGGGGACGGGAGAGGCAGACGGUAUUUUCGGGGUAGGGGUGAAAUCCUAUAAUCCCGGGAAGACCACCAGUGGCGAAGGCUGUCUGCUAGAACGCGCCCGACGGUGAGGGAUGAAAGCUGGGGGAGCGAACCGGAUUAGAUACCCGGGUAGUCCCAGCUGUAAACGAUGCAGGCCAGGUGUUUGGACGGCCACGUGCCGUUCUAGUGCCGCAGGGAAGCCGUUAAGCCUGCCGCCUGGGGAGUACGGCCGCAAGGCUGAAACUUAAAGGAAUUGGCGGGGGGGCACCACAAGGGGUGAAGCUUGCGGUUU
rnacentral:rRNA from 1 species